UACGUAGGGGGCAAGCGUUGUCCGGAUUUAUUGGGCGUAAAGAGCGUGUAGGCGGCCAGACAGGUCCGUUGUGAAAACUCGAGGCUCAACCUCGAGACGCCGAUGGAAACCGUCUGGCUAGAGUCCGGAAGAGGAGAGUGGAAUUCCUGGUGUAGCGGUGAAAUGCGCAGAUAUCAGGAAGAACACCCGUGGCUAAGGCGGCUCUCUAGUACGGUACUGACGCCGAGACGCGAAAGCGUGGGGAGCGAACAGG
rnacentral:rRNA from 1 species